CUUAACUAGACUCUAAUGACUCAAAACAAACUUAAAAGACUCAAGAUAGCUUAAAACAACUAAUUAGACUCAAACUAGACACUAGGAAUGACUUUGGACAAAAAUUGGUUUUAACUUAACUCAAAACACUUAAAAACACAACUAGGACAGAUUCUAACUAAUUAGACACUCUAAAGUAAAGGGGGAUUUGGUUUUGGAUGAAAAUAAAGUGAAACAAAUAAAUAAAGACUUAGACAGAUUUUUGAACGAAUUUGGUUGAAUUAGAUGGAUGAUGGGCUAGAUAGAAGGUCUUUCUCCACACAUGACACACUUGCAUAUAAAACGAUUUCUAGUUGCUUUUCAAUAAACCAUGAACCUCAACACCCCAGAUUAAUUAGGUACGCUUAAAUUAAUCCUUAGAUUUUCCUUAUGUCAUUGACUUGGACAGAAAUAGUGCGUCGCAAUCAAAUUACUCUUCAAAAGUUCCCUACAUGAAAGCGCAUAAUAGAGAUACAAUCAAAGAUCAUUAAGUUAUAUGAAAAUCAUAAGUAUUGACAAGACAUUCGUAACUAUGAAAGCGCAUGAUACUCAAAUUCGAAUCCUCCUUUCGGGUUGACAACGGUUGAACUAGGCAACUUACCUUGCUUUCUGAAUUGGCCCAUGAACUCCGCAAUCUACCCUACUUGCUUCUCCAAUUCAUCCACUUUUUUGUCUCUAUUUUGCAUUCCCUGCGCCAUAGAAGUUAAUAAUUGAAAAUUUUGAUCAUUAUCUAUGAACGAACCUGAUUUGGGUUGGGCAGGUUGUGCUUAGGGUUGUGUGGGUGCGUAUGGCCUUUGGUAGAAUCCCGGAGGUUGCUGCCUAAAUGCACUUUAUUGUUGGGUUUGUUGGGGCUCCAUCCACUUGAAAUUUGGAUGUUCUUUACAACCUGGAUUGUAUGUAUUAGAGAAAGGA
rnacentral:lncRNA from 1 species